AUUAUCUCCGCCUUUACCCGAACGUUUGCUCGAUGAGAAAGGAUUAAUAAAGGAAGCAGAUCAUAAUAUUUCGUGCCCGGUUUCAGGAAAUUCCGGGUAUUCUUGGUUAUGUCCCUUUAUUAAAAGCAAUUCCCAAGAAAGUGUUUCAGGACCAACUUUACCUAUUCAGCCUGUUAAAGAUAAGGAUUUUUUCAAAUCGUCUUUUAAACAUCUUUAAAAGCUUUGGUUUUGUAAAUGUUUAGGGCUCCUGCCCGGCUCUCUAGUGGUAGAUUCUCCUCCGAAUCCCGAAACGCCUAAUUUAUCCUCAGAAACCUUUGUUUCUAGCAUUCCAAAAGCGGGUGCUCACAAGGAAUAUUGGAUUUAUCCUUCGGAUCAACGCUGGUAUAAUGCAGCUAAAAAGAAAGAAGAAAAAUUUCAAGCGGAUUUUAGCAUAACCCCCGAUGAAAAACUUACUGAAGAUGCCGUUCCUGCGGCCGUGUAUAUACAUAACCAUUUAAAUGAACAAGCCUGGAAGGAAAUUUUAGAAUAUGAAAAUUUUUUUAAAGAUUCUGAACCGAAACUUAAGUCAUUUCGGGGGCGAGCGAAGGACUUUACCCCGAAGGCACGUCUGUUUCACCUUCUUGGCUUGGCGCCGCUGCCGUUUGAUCGCCACGAUUGGAUAAUCGAAAGCGAAGGAGUCGAAAGGAAGUACGUAAUAGACUAUUACUCCGAUCUCAAGGAAGAACAGGCUCUUGGCGUGCCUGUGAUAUACAUGGAUGUACGUCCUUGUGCACUUUCUCCCUGGGGCUUAAUUAAUCGAGUUCGAAUAUUUAUAAAGACUAAGAGGGGAGAAGCCUAGAAUGCAUUCGUUACUAUAUGAAUUCUAGUAUUUUCACGCGUUGCUGUCAGUUAAAUCUCAG